GGGGCGGCCCCGAGGGGCGGGCCCGGGGGGGAGAGGGCUGGUCGAGGAGGAGGACCGGGGGGCUCCGGGGCUGGGCUAAGGGAGGCCACGCAUUGAAGAAAGGUAGCAGACGGGAACCAGCUGGCGGGACCGGGUGCGGAGGCUGCUCGCGAGGGCUGGCCCGGGCUCCAGACCCCUUCCAGGAGCCAUGUGGGGGGCCACCCAGUUUGGGAAGAACAGCUUUCCCAGGAACCGGGAAUGUACAGGAGCUUUCCCAGAAGUAAAGAAGAAGGAACAUGAUUUCAAUGUUAUUGUUUUCCCUCCUACACUCUUAGAAUGAAAUGGCCUGGAACCCACUCAAAGAAAUUGUCAUCUAGUCCAUUCAAAAGAAGAUCUCCCUAACACCAGAUUCUCAGAUAUCACUCUGAAAAGAGUUUCAUAUACUGCUUGUGAAGAGUGGUCUCAGAGUGAAUAGAAUGGUGACUUGCUUACUCAAUUCUUCUGGAAUGUUAACGGAAAAUUGUAUUUUUAUAUAUUAUGAUUUUUGUCCUUCGGGUUUCCUGUAAAUGUUACUUAAGAUUGGCUUGAGGCAGAGCCAUGUUGGAGAAUAUGGGCAAAAUCUGUCAUUUUGGACAUCUCUUUCUCUAAACCAGAAAUGACUUUAGAUAUUAGAUUAAUGUUAAAUUAACAAAAUGUGUUGGUGGGGCUUUUUUUUAAUUUUUUAAAGAGGUCUUUUACAAAGAAAAUAGUAACCA